AAAUGUUUAAGGUGUCCAAAACAGUCCGUGAAUGGAGUCCAACUUUUCUGAUGAAAGCUGUUAGAAAAUUUUAGUUAUGUUCUUGGUGUUUUAACUUGUAUUCCCCCCCUAAAAACUUAAGAAAACAUGAAAAUGUAGGGGUAUGAACUCACCUUGUGUGAUUUCAGUAGAUAAGUGUUGAAGAAGAGAAGUGUUCAACCCAAGAACACUUGAAGAAUCGCUUGAAGAUUCGAAGCUCUAACACAAAUAUAAUGGAGUUUGUGUAAGAUACCCAUGAUUUGAGUGGAAAUAAUUGAGAUAAUCUUAAAGGAAAUGGAUUAUGCUUACCAAAGGUGGAGGAAACUCUCAAGAUCAGCCCUUGAAUCUCGGGUUUCUAGAGAGAGAAAGUGAGAGAGAAAGGAGUUUGAUCUUCUUGUGAAAUGAGAACAAAUGAAAGAAAAUGAGGAGAGAGGAUGGAUAUCCAGCUCUCAAAACAUGGAGAUGGCUUGUGAGGGUGGUAAAAAGUACAAGGUAUGGUGGGGAGGAGUGUGGGUUAAUCAUGGAGUGGGUAUGGGGUUGCUUGUGUCAUACAAUAAGGUAAAGUCAACACUCUACCUUUGUACUUUACCUAACCUUAUUUGGAUAAGAUUUUACCCUUAAAAUAUGAUUAAAUUAUUAAUUUAGGGGUCUUAUAUUUUAAAAUAAAGUUUUGGGUGAAAACCCUAUGUUAAAAUAAUUAAAAAUGGGUUUAAAACGCAAAAAUACGCAAAAACGGGGUGAAAAACGAAUUUUCCAGCGGAAUUCUUCGGACCUAGGCCGAAGUUCGGUCAGAUGAUGCAUGUUUCGGAGGCGAGGGGCGCGAGCCGGAGGGAAGAAGCGAAGCGAGGGCUGGUCCGAGGCUCGGUCCGAAGUGAAGGCGAGAAGCGAAAGCAAGGGUUCGGUCCGAAGUCAGGCAAGGCUCGGUCCGAAGUGAAGGCGAGAAGCGAAAGCAAGGGUUCGGUCCGAAGUCAGGCUAGAACCGAAGGCACUGUUGUGAACAGUGAUGAACAGUACUCUCGGUUCGGACCUUUCUUCUAUGCC
rnacentral:lncRNA from 1 species